UUGAGCUGAACCACUGCAGUGUUAACCUCACAGCACAGCAUAUUACUUAUGUACGGCUCUAGCGAUCUCGAGUAAAGAGAGUAAAACCGCAACAUGCAUCUAUUUUAACUUGGCGCUAAGUACUGGCAGCUGGCAGUAGUAGUGCGUUGCAUAAGCGCAUGGGCAGACGUGUAUUUGAGACCUGUAGCUGUGGAGCAUCAACUCCAACGGAUCUCAUAUCUGGAACUUGUGACUUCAUUUUCGCAUGAUUUACUGCGUCUUUUUGCAAGGACUUGCAAGUGCAUGCAUAGGCUUUAUCGUUUGGUCUAGAUGCUACCCAAAAAACUACACCCGUACAGUUCGAUCAAUGUGAUCUAGAUCAUAGCCAGCCAACCUACAUGGUCUGGUAAUUUGUUUAUGGACGGUAUCCUGGCGUAGAGGCUGACAUUAUUUUAGUUUCAGCGCAUAACUAGGCAAACAUUUCGUGUGAUGGGACUCUCCAAACUCUGAAGGAGUGUCACUGAAGUGGGAAGACUGGGAAAACGAGAGGACUAGAGGAGAAAGAUGGAGCCUAUAUCUUUAGAUGGGGCUGCAACGGUGGAGGAGCUGGUGGAAGCGUGCAUCCAAGCCUUCGAUGAGAAGGGCACUUUGAAGGACCCCUCCAUAGUGCGCAUGUUCCUCAUGAUGCACCCGUGGUACCUCCCGUCCACCGACAUGGCUAAGAAACUACUGCUCAAAUCGCAGGAGGAGAGCUGUUCUGCUGAACGCAGGACAAGAAUCUGCCACCUGGUGAAGUACUGGAUUUCGGAGUUCCCGGCAGAGUUCAAUCUGAACCCAGAACUGGCAGAGCAGAUUAAAGACCUCAAGGACCUAUUGACCACUGAGGGGAACGAGCGCCAGAGUCAGCUCAUCGACAUUGACAGUGUGCCGUCGUACAAAUGGAAACGUCAGGUGACCCAGCGGCAACCCUCUAUGUCCAAGAAGAGGAAGAUGUCUCUGCUGUUUGACCACCUGGACUCCUGUGAGCUGGCCACACACCUCACCUACCUGGAGUACAAGUCAUUCUGCAAGAUACUGUUCCAGGACUACCACAGCUUUGUGAUGCAUGGCUGCACGGUGGACAACCCCAUCUUGGAGCGCUUUAUCACCCUGUUCAACAGUGUGUCUCAGUGGAUCCAGCUGAUGGUGCUCAGCAAGCCCACCGCCCCCCAGAGGGCUGCUGUCAUCUCCCACUUCAUCAGGGUGGCUCAGAAACUGCUCCAGCUUCAGAACUUCAACACUCUGAUGGCGGUGGUGGGGGGGCUCAGUAACAGCUCUAUAUCUCGCCUCAAAGACACCCAGUCACACAUCAGCAACGAGACCAACAAGGUGUUCAACAGCCUGAUCGAGUUAGUGACGUCAUGUGGGAACUACAGCCAGUACCGCCGCCGCUUCUCCGAGUGCACAGGCUUCCGCUUCCCCAUCCUGGGCGUGCACCUCAAGGACCUGAUUGCCGUGCAUGUGGCGCUGUCCGACUGGGCUGACCCGGGCAAGAGCAGGGUCAACCUGGCUAAGUGUCAACAGCUGUAUGCCAUCCUCCAGGAGCUGGCGCUGAUCCAGACCACACCACCCACCAUUGAUUCCAACACUGACCUGCUCAAUCUACUCACAGUGUCUCUGGACCAGUACCACACCGAGGAGGAGAUCUACCAGCUGUCUCUACAGAGAGAGCCACGCAGUGCUAAACCAGCAAACUCUGGCCCUGCCCCUGCACCCGCUCCCGCCCCCAAGCCCUCUAUGAUUGACGAGUGGGCAGCGUCGGUGAAGCCCAAAGCAGACCCUGCGGUCAUCAACAAACACAUAGAGAAGAUGGUGGACUCUGUCUUCAAGAACUUUGACACGGACGGGGAUGGUCACAUCUCCAGGGAGGAGUUUGAGAUCAUCAGGGACAACUUCCCCUACCUCAGCAAGUUUGGAGAACUGGACAAGAACCAAGAUGGGAAGAUCAGCAGAGAGGAGAUGAUUGACUAUUUCAUGAAGGCCAGCUCUCUGCUCAACUGUAAGAUGGGCUUCAUCCACACCUUCACAGAGACCACCUACGUCAAGCCCACCUUUUGUGAACACUGCACUGGCUUUAUAUGGGGCUUCUACAAACAGGGAUACAAGUGUAAAGCUUGUGGAAUUAACUGUCACAAGGCGUGUCAAGGUCGUCUGGCGGUGGAGUGUCGUAAACGGACCAAGAGCAUUAGCCACGAGCACGCACCCUCUCUCCAGGCACGCUCCUACAGCUUCCCCCCUCCGGCCAACAGCCCACCCAGCCUACAGAACACAGUGAUUGUAGAGGAAGACCUAGAGGCUGUGGAGGAAGGAAUGUUUGAUAUCCAUCUAUAACCAGGUGGACUCCAAUCAAGUUGUAGAAACAUCUCAAGGAUGAUCAAUGGAAACCAGAUGCACCUGAGCUCAAUUUCAGGUCUCAUAACAAAGGGUCUGAAUACUUAUAAGUCUGCAUUCAGCCUAACACAGCUGGGAGGAAACAACAGAAGAUGUGAGCCAGAAGCAUAGCCUACUAUGGCGGCCUUAGUGCUGGAGUCUGUUCAGAAGGGUGCAAUCUGUCAUCUAGAACAGACACGAUUCCCUCUUCUAUAUGACAGACAAUCAUAUCUCCUCUACGUAAUGGAUUUCUGAGUCUGAACAUUGCAUGUAGAAAUGUAAUGAAUAGAGCAGACACGAUUCCCUCUUCUUUGACAGACAAUCAUGUCUGCUCUCUUCAUUCCAUUUCUAUAUGCAACGUUCAGACUGUCUCGGAUAGAAAUCCAUUAUGUAGAGCAGAUAAGAUUGUCUGUUGUGUAGAAGAGGGACUGGUGUAAGCUCUUCAUUCCAUUUCUAUCUGCAAUGUUCAGCGUGUUUCACAUCACUGACUGAACACCCCCGGUGAGACUUCCAGAGAGAGAAGAAAUUGCACUGAACCCAACCCAGGAUACAGACAUGCUGUCACAUCGUGGACAAAAACUGCAACUGCAUAUCUUCAAGCACUCAAUACUUCUUCCUCUGUGUAUCUCAACUCCCUUUAAACAAGUGAAUGUGAUUUUUGACGAGAAUAUCUUUCUAAGUUAAAUCUGCAUUUUAGAUUCUGGAUAUGGGCCCAUGUUUUCAUCUCUUACAUAGUUUUAAGCACUGAAUAUCGAAAAAAAUCCACAUAAUUGUAUUUUCAGGGUAGAGAUGUCAUUGGGUUAGUGUAAUGUUAUUGCCUCCAAGUUUCAGUGGUGUUGUAUUUUCAGUGCAUUUAGCUGUACAUUAUUCUAAAUUACUAACCUAAAUGUCUCUCCAAAAUACAAGAGGUGCUGUUGUUGCCAAGAAAGAAUGUAUAGGCUAGAUGCCACCCGGACUUCCGUCUUUCUGAGAAAGCUUUGCUUUUGUCUUAGUAGUUUGUCAUCUUGUUGAUUUUAGUGAAUGGUAUGAGAGAAAUUUAAAACACCCAUGUGUUCGUUGUCCGAGAUGAAAUGUUUCAGCUCCCGAUCUAACUGUUGACUGCGUUCCUGGAUUGGGAAUCUCACUUGGCGCUAUCUCGACAGCAACAAUAUCAACGACCCAAAUGGACUGUGGGAAAACUCCAGAAUUUGAGUAUUAUUUGAAUGCUGACGUAUUUCCCGCCCUCCUGUUACCUGAAUAUUAAUGACUGUUCUAUGGUAAUUUGACUGUGGUGCGUAAAGUAUGGUAUGUGGUUAUUAUGGUCUGUCUCGGUGCAUGGGCCACUGUACCUUUCCUCUCUGUAACUUUGGAUGUAGUUUGAAACAGUGAAUAUUAUAUAUCGUCCUGAGAUUUGAACUCUAUUUUAUGAGACAUGUUAAAGCCUGUAUUUUAUCCUCCUGAGACCCAGUAAAAAAAAAAGGGAUGGAAAAAGGGGUGUUUUGUUUGAACAAAUAUUAUUUGUUAUUUGAUGUGCACUGUAGUGGAUAUAAGCGGGUGAUAGUAAAUAUGGAACAGUACAGUAAGUGAAGAGCAUAGUUGAUGUCCACUACAGAGGACUUUAAUGAACACGCUCUUAUUGUUUCUUCUUUUUUUUUUUAACCAAGGAGAGAAAGUUGCAUGUGAUAUCAUUGAAACUCCCAUAACUUCCUCUCAAAGGUAGAACAGCACAUAAAGUAACUGACCCGUGAUUCCAGAUUUGUAUGAAAUGUGACCUAUGAUUAAUUACAAUAUGAGUCAAAUAGUUUACCUUAAAAAAAAAAUGUAAUUAAGUCUGUUUAAAAUAAGCUUUUCUGUGUUCGAAUGGUGUGGCCGUUUACCUGGUCAUAGAAAAAAAAUAUAUGAUGAACAUAGAUCGCUGAUUGGCCAGCUCAUCUUCCGCUGGAGUAUGACAAUCAUACGCUGAGGAAAUAACAUGCAUUUAAAAAAAAACAAAAAAACGUUUUGUUUUGAAUUUUUUUUUUUUUUUUUUUACAAUUUAUGCUUUGGCUAUAUAGGAGUAUAGGACAAGUCAACUACAUUAUUUGGGUUUGAGUUAACAGAAUAUGAACUUUUAAAUGUUUUUAACAUGUAUGGCCUCCGAGAUAAGGACCAAAAAUGAAUGUCCAUUAAGAGUGGAUAAAAAUGAAUUGCUGGGCAUUAGGAGGAUAUCAAAUAUGCUUCUGAUUCCAUCAAGGUGAUCCACUCUUGCCAAAUGUCUUUUCAGUGUAUUUUUAUGUAGCACGCAUAUAUCUUUUUUUUAUGGCAAUAUGAAAUCCUAUAGGCGAGUGUCCUAAAUGUAGUAGUUUGGGGUCUAUAAGAGCCCUACAGUGGAGGUGUCAUAAUACCCAUAAAACCUAGCGGUCAACAGAGAAAUUUGUUUUUCCGCCAUACAAUUUUUCCCAAAGGGGAUUUUAGAAACACUUCAAAUAAGGGUCAGGUUUCGUGUAGGCUUACCCUGGUGUGAUGUGUUGAUAACCACAAGAAUUGUCCACAUAAAGAAAUGUAGCCAAGGUAUUAAUUACUAAAUGUUAGCUAACAUUAGAUAGUUCAUCCAGAGAUUUUGACCUUUGCCUUGAUUCGUCAGUCUUGUCCAGAUAAUCAUGGCCUUGUAGUUAUUUUAAUGAUAGCCACAUUAGAAGCUAAUUAGCAUUUCAUUUUUGGGGAGUAAAUACAGGUGAAUAUUUUUUUAUAAAAGUCACCUUGUCCUAGAGAGAUUUACACGGUUGUCAAAACGUCACGUAAGCCUACACGAAACACAGACCUUAAUUGAAGUGUUUUUAAAAUACCCUUUGGGAAAAAUGAAUGGUGGAAAAACAAUUGGAACCAUUAACCUGUUUGACUGCUAGGUUUUAUGGGUAUUAUGACUCAUACCCUCUGAGGAAUACGAGUUUGAGUCCCCCAUUGUCGGCUGCUUUGUACCUUUUGAAUGAAGUUCUUCCUCUGAAUGGCUUUCAUUAAUACUGAAUAGUAUAUCCUGCUUCCUUCCACAAAACCAAACUUCCAACCUGCCCUUGUCAGUCUGUCCUGGACAAGGUUCUCAAUUGUUACCGGAAGUGAAUGAAUGAACACUUUAAACUGAUAUCAUGUAAGUCAUUCUUUGGAUAUAUACUGUAUCAGCUUUUUCUUAGUGUUAAAUGCGGAAUGCAUUGCUAUACUAUGUUUUAAAUAAGGAUUUACAACAUGACUAGCAGCACUGCUACCCAAUAAAGCAUUGUCUCUUUC